UCAAAUCUCUGAUCACUGCAACAAAUACAAGUCAUCGUAUUUAUACUUUUCAGUCGUGUUUAUAUUUUUAAACAACAAACAGUGAGGACGGAAACUGAAAAACUCAUGUCUUCUAAAUAAAAUCAUUAGUCGACGUGUCCUACGGAAAAAUAAAAGAAGCACUCAAUAUAUAUUUGGCAACUGAGUCGAGGACGUGUAUCACUUCGUCAUUGCCUCAGCAUUUGUGUACAAUAAGAUAGAAUUAACUUCUACUGCGUUUGAGCGGAGUGGAACGGCGACUUCGGCAUAACAAUGAGUUUGAAUUAUCGAAAAGGAGCCUUGGGUGGUGACAGUUAAUGAGUUGAGGUGAUUUGUACACCUCUUAUUUGUUAGUUCAUAGUUAAGUGGGAAUUCGAGAUGACAUCGAUAUUUAUUUAGGAUCAGUCAGGUGAAUUCUUCGUCGAUCGGUGCACGGGAAUUACAGACACGAUAGAGGACUCCCCAGAGAGACCCUGCCCAUUGCGAAUAUAUAUGGAUUUCGUGAUGAUGAUCGAGAUCGUUUCCAUUCUAGCUUGGGGAAAUAAAAAGCCGGGAUGUAGCCAACCUGUCUGGUCCGAAUCUCGCCAGACUGGAUAUUUCACUAUUUCAGACUUACCUGUAAAAAAAUUAAAUGCAUGUGCGUGUAAUAAUAAUCGUCUGACAUCACGCGUCGCUUGUGGACUCCUUCGUUACGCGUAAUUACACCGAUGACGUCUGGUAAAUGAGAUCUAGUCACAGGAAUACAUAUCCCCGCGGUUGCGACACCGCAUCGAGCCGCAAAAACCACCACUGAUACUCGGAAACAUGAGAUCUGAAUAUUAAAAUAACGAAUGAAUUCACGAGUGGACACGUAGGUGGACACACGAUGCCCCUGUCGAGAGGGUGCGGCUGCCAGCAGCCUAACAACGACGCCAGUAUGACCGAGGCAUUAGACUGGCUUACGUGUGCCUCGAUACGCCUUGUCUACUAUGAUCACGUGAAGAAAUCGUAGGAAGUCCCAGCAGAGCCUUCACUCCAGUCUCAACUUGCGUUUUAAUACCACGAGGCUAAAUUAUUAAUGACUUGACAUGACGAUUUACGUUUCACUAUCAGUGAUAUGUAAUUAAGUUUGCUACCGCGUGAUUACUGUAUGGAUUGGCGAGAGUGAAGUAGUUGGUAUCAUCAAUUUAUUCGGUAUCUUAUCGGGAAUAGAUUGAGCCUCGUAACCGGUGAAACCUGAGAAAUUGAAUCGUUGAGUUGAAAAGGUUCACCCAUUUUUUAUUUUGGGAGAGCAGGGGAGGUUGGGGUAAAAUGGACACUUGACUUUUUCUCAAAUGUUAAU